UGGGGAAUAUUGCACAAUGGGCGCAAGCCUGAUGCAGCAACGCCGCGUGAACGAUGAAGGUCUUCGGAUCGUAAAGUUCUGUUGCAGGGGAAGAUAAUGACGGUACCCUGUGAGGAAGCCCCGGCUAACUACGUGCCAGCAGCCGCGGUAAUACGUAGGGGGCUAGCGUUAUCCGGAUUUACUGGGCGUAAAGGGUGCGUAGGUGGUCUUUCAAGUCGGUGGUUAAAGGCUACGGCUCAACCGUAGUUAGCCUCCGAAACUGGAAGACUUGAGUGCAGGAGAGGAAAGUGGAAUUCCCAGUGUAGCGGUGAAAUGCGUAGAUAUUGGGAGGAACACCAGUAGCGAAGGCGGCUUUCUGGACUGCAACUGACGCUCAGGUACGAAAGCGUGGGGAGCAAACAGG
rnacentral:rRNA from 1 species